UACGUAGGUGGCAAGCGUUGUCCGGAAUUAUUGGGCGUAAAGCGUGCGCAGGCGGCCUUUUAAGUCUGAUGUGAAAGCCCACGGCUCAACCGUGGAAGGUCAUUGGAAACUGAAAGGCUUGAGUACAGAAGAGGAAAGCGGAAUUCCACGUGUAGCGGUGAAAUGCGUAGAGAUGUGGAGGAACACCAGUGGCGAAGGCGGCUUUCUGGUCUGUAACUGACGCUGAGGCGCGAAAGCGUGGGAGCAAACAGG
rnacentral:rRNA from 1 species